GGAGUUAUAGUCAACUAUGACAUUUGAUUUGCACUCAAAAAGUGCUCUCUUUUGAGCUAACUUCA
rnacentral:tRNA from 1 species